AGGCAUUUGGUUGAUCUGGCUUCGAUAUCUGACUACCAGAAUUUAUUUGGAUUAUCUGGUUUGCUAACUGCAAGUCUCCACUUACCUCAUCAUUUCAUUAAAGUCCCUCCGAAAAUUGUGCUUUGGUUAAAAGGCACAACAUUCCUGGAGUGAGAGGGACCAUUCAUUAGUCAAGGCGAAAUCAAUUAAGGAGUUCUGUCUUUUAGAGUAAAAGAAAGCUUUUAAGUUGCACUGACAUAUCCAGGAAAGGAGAUUGUCGUGUAUUCCAGAGUCAUCUAGUUCAGCAUGAUU
ensembl:misc_RNA 7SK 7SK RNA